rnacentral:rRNA from 1 species
CACGUAGUUAGCCGUGGCUUAUUCAAGGGGUACCGUCUUCCGCUCUUCCCCCUUAAAAGAAGUUUACAACCCGAAAGCCUUCUUCCUUCACGCGGCGUUGCUGGGUCAGACUUGCGUCCAUUGCCCAAUAUUCCCCACUGCUGCCUCCCGUAGGAGUCUGGGCCGUAUCUCAGUCCCAAUGUGGCCGGCCAACGUCCUC